rnacentral:rRNA from 1 species
GACGAACGCUGGCGGCGUGCUUAACACAUGCAAGUCGAGCGGAAAACUUCGGUUUUCAGCGGCGGACGGGUGAGUAACACGUGGGGAACCUGCCUCACAAUGAGGGAUAGCCUUCCGAAAGGAAGAUUAAUACCUCAUAAGACUAGAGAAACGCAUGUUUCUCUUGCCAAAGUAUUUCGUUGUGAGAUGGGCCCGCGGCGCAUUAGCUUGUUGGUGAGGUAACGGCUCACCAAGGCUUCGAUGCGUAGCCGACCUGGGAGGGUGAUCGGCCACAUUGGGACUGAGACACGGUCCAGACUCCUACGGGAGGCAGCAGUGGGGAAUAUUGCACAAUGGAGGAAACUCUGAUGCAGCAACGCCGCGUGAGUGAUGAAGGUCUUCGGAUUGUAAAACUCUGUCUUCUGGGACGAUAAUAACGGUACCAGAGGAGGAAGCCACGGCUAACUACGUGCCAGCCGCCGCAGUAA